rnacentral:rRNA from 1 species
GGCAGACGGGUGAGUAACGCGUGGGUGACCUACCCUCGAGCGGGGGAUAACGUCCCGAAAGGGACGCUAAUACCGCAUGACAUCCUGCCCUUGGACGGGCGGUGAUCAAAGCUGGGGAUCGCAAGACCUGGCACUUGAGGAGGGGCCCGCGUCCGAUUAGCUAGUUGGUGGGGUAAUGGCUCACCAAGGCUCCGAUCGGUAGCCGGCCUGAGAGGGCGGACGGCCACACUGGGACUGAGACACGGCCCAGACUCCUACGGGAGGCAGCAGUGGGGAAUUGUUCGCAAUGGGCGCAAGCCUGACGACGCAACGCCGCGUGGAGGAUGAAGAUUUUCGGAUCGUAAACUCCUGUCGAAUGGGACGAAUGGCUCGGCCGUGAACAACGGCCGGGAAUGACGGUACCGUGAGAGGAAGCCCCGGCUAACUCCGUGCCAGCAGCCGCGGUAAUACGGGGGGGGCAAGCGUUGUUCGGAAUUACUGGGCGUAAAGGGCUCGUAGGUGGCCACCUAAGUCCGACGUGAAAUCCCUCGGCUCAACCGGGGAACUGCGUC